GUCUAACGACGGGAAAUAAUUGACACUUCGCUUGGUUAGCUAGAACGGAACGGCAGAUGGUUGAUCGGAAAUUACGGGAAUUUUAAUACGGAGUUUCAAGCUCCUAUAAGUAUUUAGUGGAAAAAUUAAUAGCGUUGUUGUUUGGAAGAGCUAGGAGACAAAGUUUGGAAGAUCCCGUAGAAAUUGAAGUCACACCAUCUGCCGUUUGGGUGAAAUUAUAAAGUAACCAGUCCAUCAGCUCCCCUAACAACCGGGAGCAACCGUUCUAGGCCAAGCCAGGUCACUUGGAGACCAGCCUGGAGAAUCUCCUCCCACGUAGCGUUGAAUUCUGCACUUCGCCCCGAAGGGCACCUUGAAUAAUUGGUACAAGCUAGCACCAUCCCUGUGCUAAUUCUACUACCAGGGAUUUUGGUAUCCAUAACAAGGACACUUUUGGGAACCAUAAUAUAGGGUUUGUUUUGGGGACACUUGGUACUUAUUUGCAAGUGAUUAUUACUCUACCAUCACAACACGUUAAUAUUUUUGUGUAAUAAUCAGGACAUUUAGUUCAAACUAAGUUUUAUAGUCUAAUCACACAUAUUUUUGUUUCAAGAUUAAGGUUGCAUGUUUUUUUCAUAUUAUUAUAUCUAUAAUUUUUGAUAGUGUUUCCCAAACCAGUAAACUCUCUGGUCAAGGAGGUUUGAGCUCAGAUCAUCUUUUCCCUCAUAUGAGAUUCUCUUUACCUUUGUAUUAUAUUACCUGAAAUUUACUUGUACCAUUUAUUUAUUUAAUUAACUUUAUAUUUCUUUUGUUACUAACCUUGCUAGUCUCCACUUAUCAAUUUAAAUUUAUAUAUUUUACUCUUUAUUGCUAAUUUAUUAACUUAUAUAACUUUAACGUACUUUAGCCAAUCAUUCUAAUUAAUUAAACUUAUUUGCUUAACUUUUUACUUAAAUUCAUUUAUUUAACUUUUAAUUAUAUCCCUGGACGCUAUUCCCUUUGAAUAGCUAUCCAUUUUACUUGUGAUAAAUUUUUAGUGACUACGCGUCGAAGCAACUGAUUUUUAUAUAUCAAGUAGACCGUAGAUUCACAUUAAGGAGGCUGGUGCCUAUUUAACUCUUUGAGAGUUUAUAUUAUUGUUCAUUUGUUUGUAGUUUAGCGUUGAUGUACGUAUUUUAAUCGUACAAUUAUUUGGUGAAGGUUGUUAUUUAACCUAGUAUAUGUAAGUUGGGGGUACGCUUCCUAGAAAAGCUACUCCAAUACUAAUUUAAUAGGUAAUUAUAUUUAUACUUAGAUAGGUAAUUAUUUCCCAUUGUCAUUUUAUAGUUACAUAAUUUGUAUUUUUCUAACUCAGAGGUUGUCAAAAAUCUAAGUAGUUAUAUUUAAUAAAUAUUUAUUUGUUUUUGUA